GAUGAACGCUGGCGGCGUGCCUAAUACAUGCCAGUCGAGCGAACAGACGAGGAGCUUGCUCCUCUGACGUUAGCGGCGGACGGGUGAGUAACACGUGGAUAACCUACCUAUAAGACUGGGAUAACUUCGGGAAACCGGAGCUAAUACCGGAUAAUAUAUUGAACCGCAUGGUUCAAUAGUGAAAGACGGUUUUGCUGUCACUUAUAGAUGGAUCCGCGCCGCAUUAGCUAGUUGGUAAGGUAACGGCUUACCAAGGCAACGAUGCGUAGCCGACCUGAGAGGGUGAUCGGCCACACUGGAACUGAGACACGGUCCAGACUCCUACGGGAGGCAGCAGUAGGGAAUCUUCCGCAAUGGGCGAAAGCUUGACGGAGCAACGCCGCGUGAGUGAUGAAGGUCUUCGGGUCGUAAAACUCUGUUAUUAGGGAAGAACAAAUGUGUAAGUAACUAUGCACGUCUUGACGGUACCUAAUCAGAAAGCCACGGCUAACUACGUG
rnacentral:rRNA from 1 species